rnacentral:miRNA from 1 species
AGGGUACUAAAUGAAUACACU